GAAUUCGAUUCGGUGUGACAAGGCCCGGGAACGUAUUCACCGCGGCGUGCUGAUCCGCGAUUACUAGCGAUUCCAACUUCAUGGAGUCGAGUUGCAGACUCCAAUCCGAACUGAGAGCGGCUUUUUGGGAUUGGCUCCCCCUCGCGGGUUUGCGACCCUUUGUACCGCCCAUUGUAGCACGUGUGUGGCCCUGGACAUAAGGGCCAUGAUGACUUGACGUCGUCCCCACCUUCCUCCGGCUUAACGCCGGCAGUCUCCCUAGAGUGCCCAACUGAAUGGUGGCAACUAAGGACGAGGGUUGCGCUCGUUGCGGGACUUAACCCAACACCUCACGGCACGAGCUGACGACAGCCAUGCAGCACCUGAACCGGCGGUCCCCGAAAGGAAAAUCCUAUUUCUAGGAUGGUCCGCCGUUGUCUAGCCCAGGUAAGGUUCUUCGCGUUAAUCACUA
rnacentral:rRNA from 1 species